rnacentral:tRNA from 1 species
CGCGGAGUAGAGCAGUCCGGUAGCUCGUCGGGCUCAUAACCCGAAGGUCGCGGGUUCAAAUCCCGCCCCCGCAACCA